rnacentral:tRNA from 1 species
GAGGGUAUAGCUCUGUGGUAGAGUGCAUGCUUAGCAUGCACAAGGCCCUGGGUUCAAUCCCCAGUACUUCCA